UACGUAGGGGGCUAGCGUUGUCCGGAUUUAUUGGGCGUAAAGAGCGUGUAGGCGGCCAGGUAGGUCUGCUGUGAAAACUCGAGGCUCAACCUCGAGACGUCGGCGGAAACCAUCUGGCUAGAGUCCGGAAGAGGAGAGUGGAAUUCCUGGUGUAGCGGUGAAAUACGUAGAUAUCAGGAGGAACACCGGUGGCGAAGGCGGGUCUCUGGGCAGUAACUGACGCUGAGGAGCGAAAGCGUGGGGAGCGAACAGG
rnacentral:rRNA from 1 species